rnacentral:rRNA from 1 species
GACGAACGCUGGCGGCGCGCCUAACACAUGCAAGUCGAACGAGCGAGAGAGAGCUUGCUUUCUUGAGCGAGUGGCGAACGGGUGAGUAACGCGUGAGGAACCUGCCUCAAAGAGGGGGACAACAGUUGGAAACGACUGCUAAUACCGCAUAAGCCCACGACCCGGCAUCGGGUUGAGGGAAAAGGAGCAAUCCGCUUUGAGAUGGCCUCGCGUCCGAUUAGCUGGUUGGUGAGGUAACGGCCCACCAAGGCGACGAUCGGUAGCCGGACUGAGAGGUUGAACGGCCACAUUGGGACUGAGACACGGCCCAGACUCCUACGGGAGGCAGCAGUGGGGAAUAUUGCACAAUGGGGGAAACCCUGAUGCAGCGACGCCGCGUGGAGGAAGAAGGUCUUCGGAUUGUAAACUCCUGUUGUUGAGGAAGAUAAUGACGGUACUCAACAAGGAAGUGACGGCUAACUACGUGCCAGCAGCCGCGGUAAAACGUAGGUCACAAGCGUUGUCCGGAAUUACUGGGUGUAAAGGGAGCGCAGGCGGGAAGACAAGUUGGAAGUGAAAUCUAUGGGCUCAACCCAUAAACUGCUUUCAAAACUGUUUUUCUUGAGUAGUGCAGAGGUAGGCGGAAUUCCCGGUGUAGCGGUGGAAUGCGUAGAUAUCGGGAGGAACACCAGUGGCGAAGGCGGCCUACUGGGCACCAACUGACGCUGAGGCUCGAAAGUGUGGGUAGCAAACAGGAUUAGAUAGCCUGGUAGUC